rnacentral:tRNA from 1 species
CCUUCGAUAGCUCAGUUGGUAGAGCGGUGGACUGUAGAAUUGGGCAAUUGAAUUUGAUAGACAUCCAUAGGUCGCUGGUUCAAAUCCGGCUCGAAGGA